rnacentral:rRNA from 1 species
CACGUAGGGCGCAAGCGUUGUCCGGAAUUAUUGGGCGUAAAGAGCUCGUAGGUGGUUUGUUACGUCUGCUGUGAAAACCUAGGGCUUAACCCUGGGCUUGCAGUGGAUACGGGCAGACUAGAGGUAGGUAGGGGAGAAUGGAAUUCCUGGUGUAGCGGUGAAAUGCGUAGAUAUCUGGAGGAACACCGGUGGCGAAGGCGGCGUUCUGGACUGCAACUGACACUGAAAAACGAAAGCCAGGGGAGCAAACGGG